rnacentral:rRNA from 1 species
AGUCGAGGGGCAGCGCAAGAUAGUUUACUAUUUUGGCGGCGACCGGCGCACGGGUGAGUAACGCGUAUGCAACCUACCUUAUACAGGAGUAUAGCCCGAAGAAAUUCGGAUUAAUCCUCCAUAGUAUUCUUUAAUGGCAUCAUUUGAAGAAUUAAAGCUUCGGCGGUAUAAGAUGGGCAUGCGUCCUAUUAGCUAGAUGGUAAGGUAAUGGCUUACCAUGGCUACGAUAGGUAGGGGGCCUGAGAGGGUGAUCCCCCACACUGGUACUGAGACACGGACCAGACUCCUACGGGAGGCAGCAGUGAGGAAUAUUGGGCAAUGGAGGCAACUCUGACCCAGCCAUGCCGCGUGCAGGAAGAAUGCCCUAUGGGUUGUAAACUGCUUUUAUUUAGGAAUAAACCCCUUUACGUGUAGAGGGCUGAAUGUACUAAACGAAUAAGCACCGGCUAACUCCGUGCCAGCAGCCGCGGUAAUACGGAGGGUGCAAGCGUUAUCCGGAGUCAUUGGGUUUAAAGGGUCCGCAGGCGGAUGUAUAAGUCAGUGGUGAAAUCCUGCAGCUUAACUGCAGAACUGCCAUUGAUACUGUACAUCUUGAAUUCGGUCGAAGUGGGCGGAAUGUGUAGUGUAGCGGUGAAAUGCAUAGAUAUUACACAGAACACCGAUAGCGAAGGCAGCUCACUAGGCCUGGAUUGACGCUCAGGGACGAAAGCGUGGGGAUCAAACAGGAUUAGAUACCCUGGUAGUCCACGCUAUAAACGAUGAUUACUCGUUUUCGGCGAUAUACAGUCGGAAGACAAGCGAAAGUGAUAAGUAAUCCACCUGGG